CUACAUUUUUUUUCUCAACAGACGACCUAAUAUACUGAAUGAAAAGUUCCUCUAAAAAGGAAAUAGGACACUGCUUCAUCGUGUGACUGGCAGCUGGUACUGUGCCCAACAUAGCAGCGACAUCAGACUGGAAGAGGAACCUCGUGAAUGAGAAGCAGGACUGUGAGAUCUGGACUGAGUGCACUCCCUUUGCCCAACACCAGUAGAUGACCCAGCAAGCAAACUUGGACUUUCCUCAGAUGUGGAGAAGUGACACAGCAUGGCAUAGUGUAAUAAGCUGGAAAAAAGAUUCAAGACAUUGUAAAUACCACUAAAAAACCACUUGUCUAAUAUCUCUGAUCCAAGCUGCAAUUGAUACAGUCCUUUGAGAUUUACAAAGUCCCAGAAGAACUCUGAACAAUGCCACAACAAACCACAUUUCCAGAGGACCAGUAAUGAUGGAUCAGGCUACCUGCCUCCUGCCAGAGAGGUAAUGGCUUCAUGGUAAAG
rnacentral:lncRNA from 1 species